rnacentral:rRNA from 1 species
AACCUCCGCAAUGUGAGAAAUCGCGACGGGGGGAUCCCAAGUGCCAUUCUUAACGGGAUGGCUUUUCAUUAGUGUAAAAAGCUUUUGGAAUAAGAGCUGGGCAAGACCGGUGCCAGCCGCCGCGGUAACACCGGCAGCUCUAGUGGUAGCAAUUUUUAUUGGGCCUAAAGCGUCCGUAGCCGGUUUAAUAAGUCUCUGGUGAAAUCCUGCAGCUUAACUGUGGGAAUUGCUGGAGAUACUAUUAGACUUGAGACCGGGAGAGGUUAGAGGUACUCCCAGGGUAGAGGUGAAAUUCUGUAAUCCUGGGAGGACCGCCUGUUGCGAAGGCGUCUAACUGGAACGGUUCUGACGGUGAGGGACGAAAGUUAGGGGCGCGAACCGGAUUAGAUACCCGGGUAGUCCUAACUGUAAACGAUGCGGACUCGGUGUUGGGGUGGCUUUGAGCUGCUCCAGUGCCGAAGGGAAGCUGUUAAGUCCGCCGCCUGGGAAGUACGGUCGCAAGACUGAAACUUAAAGGAAUU